CCUACGUGAGGCAGCAGUGGGGAAUAUUGGGCAAUGGGCGCAAGCCUGACCCAGCAACGCCGCGUGAAGGAAGAAGGCUUUCGGGUUGUAAACUUCUUUUCUCAGGGACGAAGAAAGUGACGGUACCUGAGGAAUAAGCCACGGCUAACUACGUGCAAGCAGCCGCGGUAAUACGUAGGUGGCAAGCGUUAUCCGGAUUUACUGGGUGUAAAGGGCGUGUAGGCGGGAAAGCAAGUCAGAUGUGAAAACCAUGGGCUCAACCUGUGGCCUGCAUUUGAAACUGUUUUUCUUGAGUACUGGAGAGGCAGACGGAAUUCCUAGUGUAGCGGUGAAAUGCGUAGAUAUUAGGAGGAACACCAGUGGCGAAGGCGGUCUGCUGGACAGCAACUGACGCUGAGGCGCGAAAGCGUGGGGAGCAAACAGGAUUAGAUACCCCAGUAGUC
rnacentral:rRNA from 1 species